UAAUAACCGGAGUAAGAAAGACGGAUCGCAUGAUCAGCUUUUAAAAGGCGGCGUAAGCUGUCGCUAUGGGAUGGCCCCGCGGUGCAUUAGCUAGUUGGUAAGGUAAAGGCUUACCAAGGCGAUGAUGCAUAGCCGAGUUGAGAGACUGAUCGGCCACAUUGGGACUGAGACACGGCCCAAACUCCUACGGGAGGCAGCAGCA
rnacentral:rRNA from 1 species